AUUGAACGCUGGCGGCAGGCUUAACACAUGCAAGUCGAGCGGGGGAAGGUAGCUUGCUACCGGACCUAACGGCGGACGGGUGAGUAAUGCUUAGGAAUCUGCCUAUUAGUGGGGGACAACAUCUCGAAAGGGAUGCUAAUACCGCAUACGUCCUACGGGAGAAAGCGGGGGAUCUUCGGACCUUGCGCUAAUAGAUGAGCCUAAGUCGGAUUAGCUAGUUGGUGGGGUAAAGGCCUACCAAGGCGACGAUCUGUAGCGGGUCUGAGAGGAUGUUCGGCCACACUGGGACUGAGACACGGCCCAGACUCCUACGGGAUGCAGCAGUGGGGAAGAUUGGACAAUGGGGGGAACCCUGAUCCAGCCAUGCCGCGUGUGUGAAGAAGGCCUUAUGGUUGUAAAGCACUUUAAGCGAGGAGGAGGCUACUCUAGUUAAUACCUAGGGAUAGUGGACGUUACUCGCAGAAUAAGCACCGGCUAACUCUGUGCCAGCCGCCGCGGUAA
rnacentral:rRNA from 1 species